GUCUGAUUAUUUUCCGUGUAAUAAUGGGGUAAGGCAAGGGGAAAAUAUGUCCCCUUUUUUUGUUUGCAGUUUUUUUAAAUGACUUGGAAAUUUUUUUACAAACAAAAAACUGUAAGGGCCUUUUCACAGUUACAGAAGAAUUAAAACAUGAACUUGAUGUAUUUCUCAAUAUAAUUUUAUUAUUAUAUGCUGAUGAUACUGUUUUGAUGUCUGAAACACC
rnacentral:lncRNA from 1 species